UACGUAGGGUGCGAGCGUUGUCCGGAAUUAUUGGGCGUAAAGGGCUCGUAGGCGGUUUGUCGCGUCGGGAGUGAAAUCCACUGGCUUAACUGGUGGCUUGCUUUCGAUACGGGCAGACUGGAGGUAUGCAGGGGGAGAACGGAAGUUCCAGGUGUAGCGGUGAAAUGCGUAGAUAUCUGGAGGAACACCGGGUGGCGAAGGCGGCAUCCUGGACCAACACUGACGCUGAGGAGCGAAAGCCAGGGGAGCAAACGGG
rnacentral:rRNA from 1 species